AGCAGGCCCCAGCCAAACUCGCUGUGCCACCGCUGUAUAGAAUGGGGGCUCCACGAUCCAGGAGCAUUUCCACCACCUGCUCAUGACCACUUCUUGCUCCACAGUGUAAAGGGAACAAGGAAGGAAAUGCUAGAACUGAGACUAGGUGGAGAUACCCUGUGGGAGGAAGGGAG